rnacentral:lncRNA from 1 species
GGGAGGGCGGUGGGCUGGGGCUGCGGGGAUGCGCGGCGCGUGGCCGGCCGCCCCCAGCUGUGGCGUCGCUCAGGCCCGGCUUAGCGGGCCAGGGCCAGGGAUUAGGGGCAGUGGCCGCACCUGGCGGGGCGGCCGCAGGGCUAAUGCUGUGUGACCGCGCGGCCCCGCCCGACAACUGGCUCCCUCCCGCCGGGAAGGGUUGUGGGCUCGUUAGCCCGCCGGCGUGUGCGCGGGGGUGUGCGCGGCCAUGGGCGGCGUGCGCACGUGUGGACCCGGGGCCCCGCGGCUGUCGCUGACGGCCACCGGCUGCGCUGGACUGAGAGGCGCCCUGAGUGAGGAAGGGAAGCGUAGGGCGCCCUGGGAAGGGUAGCGGCCUGAAGAAGCUCAGAUCACCUCUGACAUGGGCUCCUUGGAUGUUGUCUGCAUCUCCUGGAGAUAGGAGCUGCCCGAGAUCAGAGGAUGGAGCCUCCAUGCCA